CGGUGAGGUGAUAUGAACCGUUAUAACCGGCGAUUUCCGAAUGGGGAAACCCAGUGUGUUUCGACACACUAUCAUUAACUGAAUCCAUAGGUUAAUGAGGCGAACCGGGGGAACUGAAACAUCUAAGUACCCCGAGGAAAAGAAAUCAACCGAGAUUCCCCCAGUAGCGGCGAGCGAACGGGGAGGAGCCCAGAGCCUGAAUCAGUGUGUGUGUUAGUGGAAGCGUCUGGAAAGGCGCGCGAUACAGGGUGACAGCCCCGUACACAAAAAUGCACAUAUUGUGAGCUCGAUGAGUAGGGCGGGACACGUGGUAUCCUGUCUGAAUAUGGGGGGACCAUCCUCCAAGGCUAAAUACUCCUGACUGACCGAUAGUGAACCAGUACCGUGAGGGAAAGGCGAAAAGAACCCCGGCGAGGGGAGUGAAAAAGAACCUGAAACCGUGUACGUACAAGCAGUGGGAGCCUCUUAAUGGGGUGACUGCGUACCUUUUGUAUAAUGGGUCAGCGACUUAUAUUCUGUAGCAAGGUUAACCGAAUAGGGGAGCCGAAGGGAAACCGAGUCUUAACUGGGCGUUAAGUUGCAGGGUAUAGACCCGAAACCCGGUGAUCUAGCCAUGGGCAGGUUGAAGGUUGGGUAACACUAACUGGAGGACCGAACCGACUAAUGUUGAAAAAUUAGCGGAUGACUUGUGGCUGGGGGUGAAAGGCCAAUCAAACCGGGAGAUAGCUGGUUCUCCCCGAAAGCUAUUUAGGUAGCGCCUCGUGAAUUCAUCUCCGGGGGUAGAGCACUGUUUCGGCAAGGGGGUCAUCCCGACUUACCAACCCGAUGCAAACUGCGAAUACCGGAGAAUGUUAUCACGGGAGACACACGGCGGGUGCUAACGUCCGUCGUGAAGAGGGAAACAACCCAGACCGCCAGCUAAGGUCCCAAAGUCAUGGUUAAGUGGGAAACGAUGUGGGAAGGCCCAGACAGCCAGGAUGUUGGCUUAGAAGCAGCCAUCAUUUAAAGAAAGCGUAAUAGCUCACUGGUCGAGUCGGCCUGCGCGGAAGAUGUAACGGGGCUAAACCAUGCACCGAAGCUGCGGCAGCGACACUAUGUGUUGUUGGGUAGGGGAGCG
rnacentral:rRNA from 1 species